rnacentral:rRNA from 1 species
UUAAAUCCACCUGCUCAACAGAUGGGCCGCUGGAGAUACUACAGAACUAGGGAGUGGGAGAGGGCAGACGGUAUUCAGUGGGUGGGGGUAAAAUCCUCUGAUCCAUUGAGGACCACCAGUGGCGAAGGCGGUCUGCCAGAACACGUUCGACGGUGAGGGAUGAAAGCUGGGGGAGCAAACCGGAUUAGAUACCCGGGUAGUCCCAGCUGUAAACGAUGCAAACUCGGUGAUGCAUUGGCUUAUGGCCAAUGCAGUGCCGCAGGGAAGCCGUUAAGUUUGCCGCCUGGGAAGUACGGACGCAAGUCUGAAACUUAAAGGAAUUGGCGGGGGAGCACCACAAGGGGUGAAAGCCUGCGGUUCAAUUGGAGUCAACGCCAGGAAUCUUACCCGGGGAGACAGCAGAAUGAAGGUCAAGCUGAAGACUUUACCAGACAAGCUGAGGGGAGGUGCAUGG